CACUCCUGCGGGAGGCAGCAGUGGGGAAUUUUGGACAAUGGGCGAAAGCCUGAUCCAGCAAUGCCGCGUGAGUGAAGAAGGCCUUCGGGUUGUAAAGCUCUUUUGUCAGGGAAGAAACGGUGAGAGCUAAUAUCUCUUGCUAAUGACGGUACCUGAAGAAUAAGCACCGGCUAACUACGUGCCAGCAGCCGCGGUAAUACGUAGGGUGCAAGCGUUAAUCGGAAUUACUGGGCGUAAAGCGUGCGCAGGCGGUUUUGUAAGUCUGAUGUGAAAUCCCCGGGCUCAACCUGGGAAUUGCAUUGGAGACUGCAAGGCUAGAAUCUGGCAGAGGGGGGUAGAAUUCCACGUGUAGCAGUGAAAUGCGUAGAUAUGUGGAGGAACACCGAUGGCGAAGGCAGCCCCCUGGGUCAAGAUUGACGCUCAUGCACGAAAGCGUGGGGAGCAAACAGGAUUAGAUACCCCUGUAGUCCCA
rnacentral:rRNA from 1 species